GCAGAACGCGAAGAACCUUACCAAGGCUUGACAUACACCAGAACACCCUAGAAAUAGGGGACUCUUUGGACACUGGUGAACAGGUGGUGCAUGGUUGUCGUCAGCUCGUGUCGUGAGAUGUUGAGUUAAGUCCCGCAACGAGCGCAACCCUCGUUCUAUGUUGCCAGCACGUAAUGGUGGGAACUCAUGGGAUACUGCCGGGGUCAACUCGGAGGAAGGUGGGGAUGACGUCAAAUCAUCAUGCCCCUUAUGUCUUGGGCUUCACGCAUGCUACAAUGGCCGGUACAAAGGGCUGCAAUACCGUGAGGUGGAGCGAAUCCCAAAAAGCCGGUCCCAGUUCGGAUUGAGGUCUGCAACUCGACCUCAUGAAGUCGGAGUCGCUAGUAAUCGCAGAUCAGCAACGCUGCGGUGAAUACGUUCCCGGGUCUUGUACACACCG
rnacentral:rRNA from 1 species